UUUAGCAAAGAAAAGCUGUAGUAAAGAAUACACAUUUUUUUUUUUAUAAACAAUAUUUUUAUUCAAGAUGUCUGAAUGGGAUUGGGGAACAGGCUUAGCCUAUGUAAAACCCCUUGUUAUAAACAAGAAAAGGGCACUGGGAAACCAGCCAAAACUGGCACGGACAUGCCAAAGGCUAACAACAAUAUACACAAAACAAUAAAUAAAAAAAAUAAAAUGUGAAUGUCAUCAUAAUUUAUUAAUAAUAAUUUUAUAAUAUGUAGUAGAAAAUGAUACACAAACGUGUGUUCGGAUAAUUUAAUGUCCGAAAAUAAAUGGUUUAUACUCCCGAUGGUAUGUUAUAUAACUAAUUUAAAAAAAACUCAUUAAAAUUAUGAAUAACUUACAUCUAUUACACCGUCAAGUUCUUGAAAUUCCAGGACGUCGUACGCUUCUGCCAUGUUGACAUACGGCCGGAAGUUACUUGUGCCUUAUUGACUUCGCGCAUGCGAUGUACAACAUAAUUAUGUCAUCACCGUUAUACGUCACCGAGUGGGCGUUCCCGUUAGUGUUCUAGUUCUAUGGUUUAAAUGAUUAAUACAAUGACGUCAUUAUUAAUGUGACGUCAUAAUGUAUGUUUAAUUUCAUCUGUGAAUUAGGAGAUAAACACUUCCUGUUACGUAUUUAGAGGGGGUUUAUUGUCCAUUUAACCAUGCUUGAAUCAUUAGAACACGAGACGCGAUAGCGUCGAGUUGUUCUAAUGGAUAAUUCAAGCAUGGUUAAAUGGACAAUAAACACCCGAUAAAUACGUAACAGGAACGUGUUUAUCGAUAUUGUAGCACAAAUAUUUUGAGAUUUUCUUCGGAACUAUUUAGGAAACAUUUUUACACUCAUUUUAAAAAGUCGUUAUUUGGUCACGCGUUUGCGUUCAUUUUUCAAAAUAUUUUCAAUAGAUUAUAGACGGCCUCAUUUGCUUACCUGCAAAUUUAAAAUGUUUGGGUCUCGAGUUGAUGGUAAAUGAAUUAUGAAAGAAAAUGUUAUUCGGAUAUCGACAACAAAAAGUAUUUUUAACGUUUGAAGAUUUUUAAAAGAAUAAGAAAUUAGUAUUAGUGCGGUAUUUCGAGACGAGUGUCAACGCGAUUGAAAGAAUUCCGUCCUGCUAUCCGAGACUAAAAGAGGAGUAACUCUUGGCAACAAAAAUGACUUCGCUUCGGGAGAUUCAUAAAUGUGAUUUCAUAAAAGAUGAUGUUUGAAAAUGGUGUGAUAGUCAUGUGUGCAGAAUUCCUUGAAGAUAUUUGCCAAUAAAGAUUUGAGUUGAAGAAGAUCAGAGCACAAAAAUGAAAAAAAGUACACUGUUAUAUUUAUACGCAGUAAUUCGCCUUGAUAAUUUAGAGGGGGUUUAUUGUCCAUUCGACCACACUUUUCGACCAAUCAGAAUCGAGGAAAUUUCUAAUUUGUGCUACAAUUAUUUUUAAACGAUGACUGAAUGACUACACGAAUAUUUCUACGAUUGAUCAGCUUAAAUAAAUGACAUAUUGUUUUCAUAA